ensembl:miRNA mdo-mir-7262c mdo-mir-7262c
UACCAAAAAUCUUAGUGCAGUUUUUAAUUUUAAAAACUGGGGACUGCACUAAAAUUUUUGGAGC